UCUUCCUCGAUACAACCCAUUUAUUUGCUGGAUUUGUAUGAAUUUGUUACAUUAUGUUGAUUGCAUUCUUGUAAAUUGAGCUGGAUUUGUUAUUCCUCAUAUCUUUCUUUUGAUCUGUUCUUGUGUGUUUUGUGAUAAGUGGAAGAGCUUGUUUGAUUGUAAUUUCGAAUGAGUGGGGCUGAGCACCAGGAAGUUUGGUUCCUGCUGAUCUAAAAAAUUACUGCCUUAAAUGGUGGAUUGCUAAUGGUCCAAAGGUAGCCACACAUGGAUCAAACAUGAGCUAAAGGCUUAUUUCAGUGAAUGAUGAAAGCUGGGAAACCAAUUUUAGAAGGGCCUGAAAUGCAGAGAUUCUAUGAUAAUGGCCUGUAAGCAUCAGCGAUGAUUUUAAAGGUUCAUUCUCAAGAAAGUUGUUCUCUGUCAUGUAUAGAAAUUCCGAGUGUUGUGUAAUUGUUAGACGUUGUCUUCAUUUACGGAGGAACUUUGUUUGAGUGUUCUUUCCUCUAUGAAAGAUUGGGUGCCGGGGCUGGUUGAUGCGUGACACAAAUAUACGUUAUCAAAAGCUUUGUUUCAACAGCAUAUUUGGAUGGUGAUGGGAUCCACAUGGUCUUUUUGUGACAAUUCAUAAAUAAAUGCUUUUCAGUGAUCUUUGUCAAAGCUCCAGUAUAGGCAUUCUCCAGGAGAAGUUUCUUCAUAAAUAAAUCCGUUCUUCUUCACCUGCUUCUGCAUCCUCUGAGGUGAUAUCUUAUGUUCCCAAUAUGUCAAAAAGCAUUUAGCAUAUCCCCAAAACAGACCCAUUUUUAGUACGGACAAAUGCUUUGAGCAAAGACUACAUUUUGAAGUUGUUACAAGGGCAAAUUGUACCAACUAUUUGCAAAUGCAAUGUGUUUCUAUAUGGCUUGUUUGGAUACCACCCCAUGAGCAACUUUAAAAAAAAAAAAAAACCUUACGGCAACAACAAAAUUACAUUUUUAGUUUAGUUAGUUUGGUAAGUACCCUUUUAAAGGUAACUUAACAUGUCAAAGUAACUGCCAACAGCAAAAAAAAAUUUGCUUUUCAACUUUUUCGUUGUUCCACACACACUCUCUCUCUUCUCUCCACAUAAUGGACAAUCCAUGUCAAAGGUUGGCUCACAUCUUCAAUGUGGUCCCACAUGAUGGAUAGCCCACAUUGAAGGUGGGGCCCACACGAUGGAUGAUCCACAUCAAAGGUGGGCCCCACAUGAUGGGCAAUUAACAUUGAUGGUGGGCCCCGCAUAAUGGAUGACCCACAUCAAAGUGGCCCCCAUGGAAUCGGAUGUCCACAUCAAAUGUUGGCCCAUAAUGAUGAAUGACCCACAUCCAAGGUGAGUCCCACAUGAAGGAUGACCCACAUUUAAGUUGGGGCCCACAUGAUGAACAAUCCACAUCAAUUGUGGGCUCCACAAGAUGGGCAAUGGACAUUGAAGGUGGGCCCCACAUGAUGGAAGAUCCAUAUCAAGGUGGGCCUCACAUGAUGGAUGAUCCAUAUCAAGGUGGACCUCACAUAAUGGAUGAUCCAGAUCAAGGUGGGCCCACAUAAUGGAUGAUACAUGUCAAAGGUUGGCCCCCCAAAUGAUUAGAACUGGACACAAGCCGAACCGGGCUGAACUAUGCCCUAGCUCAGCUCGGCUUGUUCAGCCAAGGGGCCUGACUCAGAGUUCGGCUUGGUUUGAUCAUCGAGCCGACCUGGUCAGCUCGGCUUGGUUUGGUAAUCGAGUCGAGUCGAACUUGAGCCAGGUUCGAGCCGAAUCAAGUUCUAGCCACUUUCGAGCCAGGUUUGAGCUGAUUUGAGUUCUAUUUUUUGGUCUGAAUCAAGUUUAGCUCGUUUGCUUGGUUCGAUUUUAUAAUGUAGGCAAAAGAAGUGAAGUGGAGAAUAAAUCAACAAUAAAACCCAAAAACUUAUGAAUUUGAAUCUAUGAUAAACUGCACAAAAGUUAAGGCAAACUUAGAAGUCAGGGUUCCUUAUAUAUAUAUAUAUAUGUAUAUAUGUACACUGCAUUUAGACUAAACCUAGCCGAAUUGGGCCGAACCGAUCCAAGGUUUGAGACGAGCAAAAUUGGGCUGGUAUACAGCUCCGGCUCAGCCCGAUUUUGAAAAGAGAUGGGAUUUUUGGCUUGGCCAGGCUUGAACAGGCUGCUCGAACGGAACCAAGCUGAGCUAAUUUGGGUUGAACCGAGCGAGCAAACCAAGCUGGCUUUGUUUGUAUUCAACUUUAAUGAUGAAUGGCCAACAUCAAAGGUCGGCCGCACAUGAUGGAUGCCCUACAUCAAAGGUGGGGCCCACACGAUGGAUGGUCCACAUCGAAGGUGACAUCCACAUGAUGGGUGGUGGACAGUGGGCCCCACAUGAUGGGCAAUAACAUUGAUAGUGGACCCUACAUGAUGGAUGACCCAUAUUAAGGCGGGCCCAACGUGAGGGCAAUUCACAUUGAAGGUUGACCCCAAACAAUGAAUGGUCCACACCCCAGGCAGGCGUGCAUAAUGGAUGACUCACUUUGUAAGUUGGGCCUCUCAUGAUGGACGUUCCACAUCCAAUGUUUAACAUGAUGAAUCACCCACAUCUAAGGUGGGUCCCGCAUGAUGGUUAGUCCACAUUGAAGGUGGGCGUCGCAAGGUGGAUGGUUCACAUUAAAGGUUGGCCCCACAUAAUGGACGGUUCGCAUUGAAUACAUGGCCAAGGUGGGCCUAGCAUAAUGAAUGGUCCACAUCGGGUAAGUACUUAUAUAAUGUUGGAAACCAAACAUACUUUUCUACUUUUAGGCUGAUAAGUAUGCUGUUGUGGUAUUCAUUCUCGUUCAGCUCUUGGAAUUACAUCCAACUAUGGUUGGAUCUCCAAACAUACUUAUCUAUUGAAUAUGUAGGAACUAACAUAAGCUACUUGAGGUAUAAGUAGCUUACAUAAAGCAACUAACGAUCCAAACAAGCCCUAAGUUGCUUGUUUAGAAAGUAGAUUGGUUUUUUAUGGGUAAAAAAAUGGUGAGAAGCAUACAUUAAAGAAAAAGCCAAUAUUUAACAACAUAUUGUUGGGGAUAUUUAAAAUAAAAAUAAAAAGAAUAGGAAAAAAUCAAAAGAAAAAAGCACAACAAAAAAUCAUUUGUCUUCUAGCGCAUGUCUUUUAGUGCUUUUUUCUUUUGUUUAUAGUAAAUAGUUCUACAUCGGAUGAGAAGAUGUAAUGAGAAGUGCUUAUAAAGUAUUCCUCUCCCAUACUUUUAUGAAUUGGUGCAUUACUAUGCACAAGUCCGUAUGUGCGUCUAAGGCUGGAUUAGUGGGAAAAAAUGUUUCAGAAAUUAGUUAACCGAGCAGACGCGCUUAAAUGCUCGUACAUAGGGGGAAUCUGGCUCUUGAAUGGCUUGAUCUAGAUAUUAUAUAGGGUCUUAAUGGUUUUGGUUGUGUUUUUUUAAUUCAAGUUUGUUUUUGAAAAAUGUCUUGAAUGGGCUAGAAUGUUUCUCAUUGUUUCCUUUUCGUUUUGAUAAGACCCACUAAAUCUAGAUCAUUUUCUUUGUGAGAAACCUUUCUCAUAAACGACGGGCCCAUCAUAACAGUAAGAAACGGUCAGAAAUGCUUGAUCAUUCACCGGCAUCUUUUGGAAAAUGGUUAACUUUCCCUGGUCUACGCAAAUGGGUCGUAGACUCGUAGUCUAGGUCUUUGGAAGACACACUGUACUACAACAAUAGCAUUGAUAUUUUAUAAAACUACUUUCUUUUUUCACAAAGCUAUUUUCUUAUUGGACAUUCAAACUGGUGCUUGUUUGUGUUCCUUUUUAUUGGGUGUCCGGAUUUCCAGCGGCUUGUGUGCUUUGAAGGAAAUUGUAUGCUGGGCGUUGUAUCUUGGGGAUAGCGUGUCGAGAGCCUACUGUAUCAGUCGAACUAACCGAGGGGCGCAAACUAUCUUAAAAAUAACAACUAUGUUCGUGUCUCACCCGACAUGAAAUUCAAACUCUUUCUCAUUUCGAAGCUAUCCUAGACAAGUGUGAGGUUUCAAUAUGCGUUGUUUUAUUCAUUUUCGAGUUAAUUUCUCAUAGAUAUUAUUUCUUUUGUGUAAAACUUGUGGCUAUUAUUUUGCCUUAUAUUUCUACAUUGAGCCAUCGACCCUAUGUUUCUUUUUCAAUAUCCAUUUACAACUUAAGAUUUUUGCCUCAGGAGGUAAGUUUACCAAUUUCUAUGUGUUAUUAGUUUUGAUGGACUUUAUCUCAUUUGUGACCACUUCUUUCCAAAAUAUGGCAUCAUGCGGGGACAUAGCAUGUUUAAAUGUCAUAGGGUUACCUUCUAGUUGGACUUGAAACACAUGAAAAUUAGGACCAUAGUCCUUGCUAAUCUUAGACCGUUCGCUUAUCGUAAUUUCAGGUUUAGACUUAGGUUCUUCCAAGUCCACUAGAUUUGAGCUGGAUGGUUCAUAUAGUAUUAUAGCAAAGGGACUUCCACUAGAACGAUCGUAACUGUUCUUUAGGUUUUAAGGAAAGAUAUUUUCAUAAAACUCUGCAUUUUUGAAUUCAAUAGAACUUCAUAUCUAGGAAUCUAUUUUCCUUGUUAUGAGAUGCAUACCCCACAAGUAUACAUUUUAGUGGUUCUGGCUCCUAACUUAGGCUUUUUAGGAUCUGUAAGCCUAACAUGGGCAAGACAACCUUAUGGUAUAAGAUAACUAAUAUUUGGUUUUCUACCUUUCCACAAUUCAGAGGGAAUUAUCAUAGAUUUAGUUAUAGGUUCUUUAUUUAGAAUAUAACAAGUAGAAUAGAGAGCUAUCUAGAAGGUAAGAGGAAGACCAAAACUCAGUAACAUAUCAUAUACUAUAUUAAUUAUGGUUCUAAUUUUAUGUUUUGCUACUCCAUUUUGUUUUGGGGAAUAUGGGGCGAUGACUUCAUGAAUAAUUUCAUAGAUUCACAGAAAUUAUCAAAGUUCUUCAAAGUAUAUUCACUAUCUCUAUCACUUCUAAGGAUCUUGGUUUUUUUGUUCAAUUGAUUUUCCGCUUAUCCUAGUUACUUAGAAGUCCUUUGCACACCAGGAAAGGAUUUUCUAGUUACCUUUGACUGUGAGUAGGAAUCCCACUUCUCAAAUUCAUUAUUUCCUAAAGUUGGAAUCAUUCCACAGGCACAAGCAACCAUGUUUUUAAUGAAUUUAACAUUUACAUGAUCUAGUCUACCAUGCCAUAGAGAUAGUGCACACCAUGUAAACAAAAGAAACUUUAUUCAGUUCAACGUUCAAUGUAAACAUGCACUGUUCAUGAUUUGCAUAGCCCUUUGCAACAAAAGAUCCGUUAUUUGUAAUAACGAUGUGGCCAAACUCACAAACCCAUUUCAAACCCGCCUUGUUCAAAAGGUAACCCGAGACCAAAUUCUUCCGUGUUUGGUAUAUGAGGAACAUUUGUUAAAGUAUAGCCUUCCUCAAGGUGAACAUCAUUUCCACCUUUUCGUGUCCAGCUACAUUUGGAGUGACAAUGCUUCCCAUUUGAACCUUUCAUUGCUUGUAACCUCUUCAUAAGAGUCUUGAACCAAUGAUGAUCAUAAUGCACGUGUGCAUUGGCAUUUGUGUCCAUCCACUAUCCAUUACACGAUUAUAAGGGAACCGUGUUAAUCUUCUCGACCACAACACGAUUUGAGGCUCUUUGGUCAGAUUUGCUUGAGGUGUAGGUGUUGGUUGCCCCUUUUUACGAUUGAGACACUUUCUUGCAAAAUGAUCGGGUUUGCCGCUUAUGAAAACACAACAAAUUUGUCUUGGCUAUCGGGUUUCUUAUUCUUGGGCUUGGGCUUGGGCUUAGGCUUCUUUUUUAAUUGGUUUCAGGUUACUGGGUUUUCCCUGAGCUUUCUCAUUCAAGAGAUUGACUUUAGAAACUUCUUUCCUCAAUUCCUCAUUUUCACCUUGACACCUUGCCUAAUCCUCAAUAGGUGUAUUAUGAGGGUUUCCAUGCAGAGCUCUUUGGUUUUGUGACUGAGAGAGUUCUUAAAGUCUUUCCAUGAUAGAGACAAUUUUUCAACAACUGCUGCCACUUGAAAGAGUUCAUCCAAUUUAUUCCCCUUAGAGAUGAUCUCAUGGGCUAUUAGAUUGAACUUGUUUGUUUGUUGAACUACAAAUUUAUCAUCUAUCAUUUGGUAUUUAAAAUACCCGCUCAUCGUGUUUGUUUUCAUGCCUGCUUCAUUUGUUUUAUAUAUCUUUUCCAAGGCAAACCGAAUUCCAAUAAAUGUUAUAUGAGCACAAAAUACAUCAUAUAAUUAGUUGGAUAGUGCACUAUGUAAUUUUUGCAUAGGUAGCGUCUUUGCCCCAUCUUUGAUGGGCAACGAAUAAUUAUGCUUCAUGAAGAUCAGAUGACCUUUUAUUUUUAAUUUAUGACAUGAGCCAUCUGAAGGGUGGUGAGGUGGAAGAACAACUUCUACCUCCACCUUUUACAGUGUUUGCCCAUUGAAUGUUUCUGGACAAAUAGACUUGAAAUCGUUCAAGAAAAUUUUUAGUUCGACAAGGGUCAUCUAUCUCAUACGUGUAAUAUUUAAGCAAAAUUAACUAAAAAAGGAACAAAACAAUGUAUAUUGAAACCUCACACGUGUUUAAGAUAUUGCAAAAGGAAGAAUAAUUUGAAUUUUCUAACAGGCGAGACGCGGGCACAGUCCUUGUCUUUGAGAUAGUUCGCGUCCCUUGGUUGAUUCAAUCGAUGCAGUAGACUCUCAAUGCGCUAUUCCCAUGAUAUAACGUCCAAUGUACAAUUCCUUUCAACAUGCAUGUCUCUGAAAAUUUUAAUACGCAAGGAAAAAGAAUAUUAAGAAACAUCAGUUCGUAUACUCAACACGAAAAUGGUUUUAUGAAAAAAAGAACAAUUUUGUAGAAUUUCGAUGGAAUUGUUGCUAUAUAGUGUCCUCCAAAGACCUAGUCUACGAUUCCUCUAUAUAGAGCUAGGGGGCAUGGUGUGUCGUAAAGGCCGUUACAUAAAGGUAAUGGUGGCAACCAUUACAUGUUACAGGGUUGUAAAGGCCGUUACAGAGAAAAUGACCUGUAAAGGUUAUUACAACCCCCGUAACAGCUUGUGACACCCCUCAUAAAGGCCGUAACGGUCUAUUAGGGGGCUGAUACAAGUUUUUCACAUUCUUUUUUUAUUUAAAAAAGAGACUGUAACGACCAUUACACCAUGUAUCGUAAAGGUAAUGGCGGUGGACGUUAUGACCACUAUUAUCGUUUCAGAAUACCUUGCCUAGGGGAGGUAUUUGUUUUCCACAAGUAGCUCAUGGACGGUCAAGCUUUUCUAAUUUGGAUUUAGUAGGCCUCAUCAAAACAAAAAGGAAACGGUGAGAAACAUGUUUUAAGAAAAACAAUGCAAAACCAAGUCCAUCAAGACCUUAUGAAGGGUCUAGAUCAAGCCAUGGGAGUAUUUGGGCAUGCACGCCUGGUUAAUUAGUUUCUGGGCUAGUUUUUCCAUUAGGCCAGCCUCGAGCACCUGUAUGGGCCGGUGCAUAGUAAUAUGCAUCAAUUUACAAAUGUUUGAGAGAUGAAUGCUUUGUAAGUACUUUUCAUUCCAUCUUCCCACUCGAUGCGGGACUAUUUGCCAUGCACAAAGAGACAAAAUACUAGAACACAAAAAGAAAAAAAGGAAGGUUUGUUUUGUUGUGCUUUUUCCUUUUUGAAUUUUUUUUUUUUUUUUUUGUGUUCUUUUUAUUUUUAUUUGAAAUAUCUCCAACAGAUGUACCUUGUCUUGCAACGUGUUACCCAUCUCUUGGUAAAUAUCACACAAAGUAAAAGCCUGCAGUCAAUUGUUCGGCAAAAAAUCAGGAUUGAUAAUAUCCACUAUUACUAUCAACAGCUACAACGAGGAGUUGCAAUUCUUACAUGAUCAUUUUAUUAGCUUGUGACAAAAUGGGGUAUGGAGGGAGGGAUGGAGGAGGGAGGUUUUUGCUGCAAUUGAUUUGGUGGUUGUUUCCAUGUCCAUGUCUAUGUUAACGGGACUCAAACGAAUUAACAUCCUAAAUUAGGAGGAGAUGCGCAACUAAUGCAAAAAGAUAUAGGCUCAAUCCUUAACCUCUCCACUAGUGGUCCUCGCAUUUGUUCCUGCUCCCACAAACACAUUCUUAAUCAUCUUCUUAAGACUCUGUUUCCCAACAUCUACUUGAUUAAGUCAUGUGCUUUCUCGAAAUUAAUAAAGAUAUGUGGAGAUCCUUCCCUCUCCCAAUGUUUCUUUACCAUCGAAGUAGGAAAAUGGCUUCAAUAGUUGACCUUCUUGGCAUAAAUCUAAACUGAUUUGAUUAAUUUUUCUCACAUCUUAACCUUUGCUUUAUCGCUCGUUCCCAAUGUUUAUAGUAUAAGUUUAAUCCCAGUAUAGUUAUUGUAGCUCUGUAUGUCUCCUUUAUUCUUAUAAAUAAAUACCAUGGUACUUCCAUUCUUCGAGCAUUUUCUUCGAUCUUACACUCUUGUUGAACAAAUUUAUCAACCAAAAUAAACCAGCAUCUCCUGUACACUUCCUCUGCAGAAUGAAGAUGUUCUGGGCCUUUGUUUCCAAAGCCAGCCAAGCUAAUUGGGCCAAAAUCUGCCCACCUCAAUUUGUAGGACGAGUCAUUGUUUUGCACCAAAGAACAGAAAA